CGAUUGGUGUUCUAUUCAGGCAAUAUCUGUUACCCCUUUGAUCACCAGGGUUGAUUUGGCUGAUCUGGCUGGCUAGGCGAGUAUCUCCUUCCUCCCACACCACUCCAUGUGUGUUCCUCCUGAAGCUGAGCACUUGGUUGAAGAGGAUGGCCUUCCCCAAUUAGAGGAGGACUGGUCUUCCAUCAAAGGUAUAGGAGUAGCUGUGCUCCCCUGCUAGAACCCCCAAACAACCUCAAGGUCCAUAGACCAGGAACUUUAAUUAUUUGUUCAAAGUUGCUCUCCUU
rnacentral:snRNA from 1 species